AAACGGGGGGGGACGAGUGUUACUCAACUUGACUGGGCGUAAAAGGGCAACUAGACGGUUUUUUUUAGUAUUAAGUUAAAUAUUAGAACUCAAUUUUAAUUAAGCUUUUUAUACUAAAAAGACUAGAGUUCGAUAGAGGAUAAUAGUAUUAUCAGUGUAGAGGUAAAAUCGGUGAUAUUGAUAAGACUAACAACAAGCGAAAGCGGUUAUCUGGUUCGAAACUGACGUUGAAAGGCAAAAGCGUGGGGAGCAAACAGGG
rnacentral:rRNA from 1 species